rnacentral:rRNA from 1 species
UCGGGAAUUUUGGGCAAUGGGCGAAAGCCUGACCCAGCAACGCCGCGUGAAGGAUGAAGUAUUUCGGUAUGUAAACUUCGAAAGAAUAGGAAGAAUAAAUGACGGUACUAUUUAUAAGCUCCGUCUAACUACGUGCCAGCAGCCGCGGUAAUACGUAGGGAGCAAGCGUUGUUCGGAUUUACUGGGCGUAAAGGGCGCGUAGGCGGCGUGUCAAGUCGAUUGUGAAAUCUCCGGGCUUAACUCGGAACGGCCAAUCGAUACUGACGUGCUAGAGUGCAGAAAGGGCAAUCGGAAUUCUUGGUGUAGCGGUGAAAUGCGUAGAUAUCAAGAGGAACACCUGAGGCGAAGGCGGGUUGCUAGGCUGACACUGACGCUGAGUGCGCGAAAGCCAGGGGAGCAAAC